AGUUCUACCUUUGGCAGUAACAGUUUCCACAGACCACGGAUUAUGGGACUUUAAGUUCAGUUCACCUUUAUGAAGCAUCUACUAUGGGCAAGAUCUGCAGAUACAGUGAUGGACAAGACACCAUUUCUAUCCUCAAGAAGGUCACAGUCAAGGGGGAAAAGGACACACAAACAGGGGGCUGGGACCGAGCCCGAGGCGUCUCUGAGGCGCCUGGAGACUGAGGAGGCCGAUUCGCCUGAAGGAAGGAGCCCAUCCUGUGGCUCAAGCGCCACCACCCCCGCGAAGCCUCAGGGUGCUACCUCCGCCUUCAGCGAGCCGUACUGUCUACACCACACUUGGGAUCUCGGUCGCGGCUCCUUCUCAUCCACGAAAGUGUAGCCUCUGUGG